rnacentral:lncRNA from 1 species
GGUGGGGACACAGAGCCAAACCAUAUCGUGUAGUUGGAAAUCAGUGUUAAAGAAGGAUAAUGUAGCAUUUAAACAAUGUUCACAUUGGUUUUAUUUAUUUUUAUACUUUAGUUUAAUAAAAGAAUUGUUGGUUUUUUCCUAGAUGCACAGGUACAGGCCUAGGUGGAAUUUCCAUUUAGCAGAGGAAAUGGCCCUUGUGGCUACUUUCGAUGAAAAGCAACAUGACACUUGAUGAAUAAGGAGUCAGCCACACACCUAGCCCCAUGAGUAACCAAUUAGGAAACUAAUUACAGGCAAAUGCUGUGCCCCAUUUAGAUAAGAAGAGUGGAUUGCCACAUUUCCAAAGUAUGAGGAACACAAGGUAUAACUAAACAGAUUUUUAGGUAAAUAAAUUUGAGCAGUUUUGGUUCAAUUGCAAUAUAAUCAUUAGUAGUUUUAAAUAAUCAUGACUCUUGCUAUGUAGCUAUGAGAGUUUACUCAUCCCUAAUUGUUGACUGGCUGUAUAUUAUUGCUGGGAUGAAAAGGAAAUUCUCAAGCUGCAAUUAAUAACUGCAGUACACAUCUGAGACAAUUUGUAUCUACGAUAAACACGUAUUUGUAUGUAUAUUUCUAAAAAUGUCCUCUUACUCAAUUCAAAUUUGCUAUUUCUUUCAAUGGAUUAUAUCAGUUUACAGUAUCAAUUUGACUUAAUAGAGAUGAGAAGACAUAGGUCUUUAGAUGUUCUCCAUUAGUUAGAUUGCUCCUUCAUUUUGUGAAAGUUUCACAGUCUACCGGGUCUGUAUAAAUGACAGCCGAAGGGAGAUUCAGGCAGGUAGGGAGAGAACAUCCUAGUGAUGACUAACUGGGUUUUAGAAAGAGAGCAUACUUCUGAGUAAUUGUUCCAAGGGAAUUUUAAUUAAAGUAAAUUAGUGUGACCAGCUAAAUCUUGCUAGGUAGUACACAGCUGAGCUGGAAAAUGAUAUAGAGAAGUUUAUUUGCUCCAGACAGAAAUAUUUUAAAGGCAUCGGGUAAAUAUAUAAACUAAUAAUGUUAAUUUUGCUUCAAAAAGCAGUUCUAGACAAUUCAAUAAAUAUUUCAUUCUUUUGCUGAUACAAUAAAGGCCAACUAUCCCAUCUUAUGAGAGUCCAGCUUCUAAUUUCAACUGAGGUUAUAAUGCUUCUGUACCUAAUGGAGUAGUAUCCUCCCUGAGAUUCAUAAAACCUAAAUAGGAAUUCCUUGAGUCCUCUACAAAAUGUAAAUAAAGCUGAGGCCCAAAGAGUAAUGAGGCUGUAGUGACAGCCCUUGCCACAGUACUCCUUCUAGGAUGCCAAUCAGCAAAGGGACAAGUAUGGCAGGAAGGACACCUAGUCAGUGGGCUAGUCGGGCCUCAUUUGAUAUACGAAGGGUAAUCUGUAGGCUCAUAUGAACUCUUGGCCUCAUUCAUAAGUGUUGGCUCUACAAAGGCUUUUCUAGGCCUGGGUUUCUGCUAUAAAAUACAAGACAUGAAACUUGAAGUAAACUUAAGAAGUAAUAUAUUUAUUUCCAUAAAAUGAGGAAGUAGUACAGAAAGACCCCUUGAGGGCCCAUCCAGGUCAGUACCAUUUCCACGCCCUGAAAUGCCUCCCUCAGGGACACCACCCCUUGGAAACACAGAGAAUAAGGAAUGCAGUGCAAGUGUAUGGAACAGGAUAAAGAGAUGUGAGGUCACUCCCCAGCCACAGUCAUCUACUCUGGCUCUCAUAGGUACUUCAGGUUUUCUGCUAAGCAGGCACAAAGGGGUUUCAUUUUGAAGAAUUAUCCCACUAUUUUUUACAGUGAUGAAGGAAGGAUAGGAAGUCCUUUAGAAGGGACUCCAGGAGCUGUACCAAACUCUGAAAAUACUGAUGAUUAAGCCACAUGGGGUCAUCUCUUCUGAGCCUCCAUACAGAAGUGAAGGGUGACAAUUAAAUAAGAAAAGUGUGACGAUAGAGGUCUGCAGAUAUGAAUCUGUGUGUUGGGGGACCCAGGAAUGGGGCUCAAAAUGAAGCCUCAGAGGCUGCAAUAGGUAAGCAAUGUUUCCUCAGACACAAUAGGUACACCUAAUGUACAAUUGUUCUGGUGGGCAUGUGUCCAGCAUGCCCACAUAGCCAGCUGGGUCUCAUCUUUUGCAAAAUAUGGCCCUCUGGCCAGGUGGAUCAGGCAUGAGCAGAGAGACUAUGGCUGAACUUGACGGCUCCUUGACAGAUCCCUCACCCUCUUUAUGGUCCAAAGCUGCCCAGUCUCCAGAGCCACAAAACCAGCCUUAGUUUAAUGUUGCCUAGAGGGGUCAUAGUCCAACUUUUUUAACUUCAUUGGCAUUCUUUUCCCAGUUGUACAUUCAUAUCUUUUAGACCAUUUCUCAAAGCACAUUUUGCAAAAUAUCAGCAUGCUAAUUACCUCUGAAGUAAUUGUUUAAAAUUCCAUUUGGGAAUUGUUGCUCAAGAACAGUAGUAGUCAACUCCGGCUCCACAUGAGAAUCACAGGGGAAAAAUAUUUUUAAUAGCAAUUAUCUGGGCCUCAUACCAAAAGACACUGGUUUGAUUGGUCUGGGUUAUUCUAGGCAUCUGAAUGUGCUGGAAGCUCCCCACAGUGACUUGAGUGAGUUAGAGUCUCUUCCAACGAACAGGUGUAUGUCUGGAGGCAGGUGGGCGGGAUGAGGCCACCUGAGGCCUGUUGGUAAUCAGGAAGAAAGUCUCCAAUGCACACGGAGUACCUAUUAAAAAGACUAUAGGAUGGUUCCUGAGCCUGGAUUCCAUCCUGCUGUGCUUUCAGAGGGCUGCUCUCUCUCCUUCCUUUCCAGAAAAGGGGGCCUUCACAAUUUCAUUCCUCUAAUAGAUUCUCACAAUUCAGUGUGCAUAAAAGUCAUCUGAUGGAAUUUUACUAACAUGCCAAUUCCCAGACGUUAUCCCAGAAAUUUUGAUUUAGUAGCACUGGGAAGGUGCUGGAAUAUAUAUUUUAGCAAUUACUAUAUGAUUUUGAUGAAAGUGGUUGAGGGACCAUCUUUGAGGAAACACUGCCUAAGCCUUCGCCAAGGUAUAAUCUGCUACCCUUGGGAAUGUUCCCUGUCUUAAAUUUUGGAUCUAGCACCUAGUGUCUGGCCCUGGGUAUAAUCAUUAACCUUUCUGUGCCUCAAUUUCCACACCUGUAAAAUAAAUGAAAUAAAAGUGCUUUAUAGAGGUUGUGAGGAUUAAAAGAAAUUAAGAUAGAGGUCAUGGUAAUGGCCUGAGGUAACCAGGUGAUAGAUCUGGGUAGCUUAGGGAAUACGUGUGUGUGUGUGUGUGUGUGUGUGUGUGUGUGUGUGUUUUGAGACAGUCUUGCUCUGUUACCCAGGCUGGAGUGCAGUGGCACGAUCUCGGCUCACUGCAACCUCUGCCUCCGGAUUCAAGCGAUUCUUGUGCCUCAGACUCCCAAGCAGCUGAGAUUAGAGGCGUGCGCCACCAUGCCUGGCUAAUUGUUUUUGUAUUUUUAGUAGAGAUGGGGUUUCGUCAUGUUGGCCAGGCUGGUCUCACAGCCCUGGCCUUAAGUGAUCCACCUGCCUCGGCCUCCCAAAGCGCUGGGAUUACAGGCUUGAGCCACCGCACCAGGCUGGGAAUACAUCUUUCUUUUCGGUUGGCGCUGGUCCUCUAGUAAGGCAGUAGCUUAAUCAUUUACGUGUCCUCUUUCUAUCUCAGCCUUCCCACCACACUUCCCCACUCAAGGCUCACUCCAGACAUUGUUAGAAGAAAUUUUCCUUCUAUCCAUGUGAUGUGUUGUAAAGAAAGACUAAAAAGUAUCCAAAUUGUACUUUAUAAACAAUUUCCUAUAGUGGAGAUUGAUACUCAAUGUAUGAAGGUCAAAUGAUGAAGAUGUACCAUUAAGCCUCAUCAGACUCUAUUAGUUAAUUUCAGUCAGCAAGUGACAACUGCACAUUUUAAAACCUAGAUCUGUGAUGACACCCAGUGGCCAAAAUGUCAACCACUGAAAUUUUAAAAAUACAUCAAGUAUUUUCAUCAGCAUACAAAUAAUAUUGCAUCAACUUUAAAUUUUGAGAGCUAUUCAAUAACAAAGCAUGAAAAGGUUCUACACUGGGAAUGUCACCAAUGAAAUGUGGACAAACCAACUUUCUUUAGUACUGUAUUUAGUAGAACUUUCCCAACCAGUUCAGGCAGAUAAAAGCACCAGGUUAUCAAAGGUGACACAUUCCUAAAAAAAAAAAAAAAAAAAAAAAAAAAAAGCUUUUAAACUUGGAAAAAGUAAUUUGCAUCAGUAUAUAGCAAAGAACCAAUGACCAAAUGCAGGAGAGUACAACAGAGAUUAUUAAGACUUCACACAUGGUCCUUUAAAUAAUUAGAAAAUCAUUAACAUGCUUAGCUUGGCAAUUCAGAUAACAGUAAUUACUUUAGCCAGUACCCAUCCCAAAAGGUACAGGAUAUUUUGGACAUUCUUUCACUUGCUCAUUCAAAAAUAUUUCCUGGUGUCCUGGGUUGAGAAGCAGGCUUGGGGAGGGAGAUUAAUGUCCAUGAUGUUUGUGAAGGCAGGCUCCUGGGAUCGCACUUGUAGAUGGAAAACGAAGGAGGAGGAUUGUGGAGAGAGAGAGGAGAUGGUUCCUAUACAGCCUCGGUUGACUCACAGAGAGCGCUGAAGCUAGCCUGGCCUCUCAGCUGUUGUCCAUUCUUGGGGUAAUGAAGCAGGGCUUUUAUCCUCUGCCUCCAUCCAGUCACUGGAUGUGGGCUACUCCCAGAAAGGGAGUAACCUUAGGUGAGGCAGCGCUGAAGAGGCCUGACAGCUGAGGCUUGUCUACUGACAACACUCCCAGCAGCUGAGGGGGAUAAGACCUCCAGGCUCAAGGGUGAGCUCUACGGCCCAACACAGCGUCCACCACACUGACGCAAUAUGAUGCCGACAAAAUAAACAGGCUUUUCGAUCUUCUGUAACUUGAAGGUGAGACGGGAAAGUGGGCUGGAGUUGAGCAGAGUUCAGAGUUCUCCUAGCUAGGGGCAUACUCUGGAGUACGCAAAUCCAACAGUCCUGACAGAGGAAAGCAGCUUCCUGUAUAGUUGACCUGGAAGGUCAACUUCUUGUCAGAGUUUUACAUGAAUUAUUUUUAUGGUGGAAAUAGAUGUAAAUGUUCCACCAAAAAUGAUUUUUAUCAGGAACUGUCACAGCCACCUCAACCUUCAGCAACCACCACUGUUCAAGGCAACAUCCUUCAGCAGCAGAAAGAUUGACUCGCUGUAGGCUCAGACAUGGGGCCUCACUAUGUUUCACAGGCUGGUCUAAAACUCCUGAGCUCCAGGGAUCUGCCUGCCUCCGCUUCCCAAAGUGGUGGGAUUGUAGGCAUGAGCCAUCAUGCCUGGCCUGCUGUGAGUUUUAAAUAAAAAUGUAAAUGCUCUUCUCCAUUUUCUUACCUCUCCUUUUAAAGUGUGUGUGUGUGUGUUUUUUUUUUAAUGUCAUAUAAGUAAUACGUAUUCGUGGUAGAAAUAUUUUUUUAAAAAAUAGAAGCAAAAAAGUCACAAUCAUCCUAAUUAUCACUAUUUGUAGAUAAUCACUACAUUUUGACACAUAUAAUUCUAGAGUUUUACCUAUAUAAAUGAUACACUUAUUACUAUCUGUAGGCACUAUGUUAAGCAUUUUAUAUUAUCUUUGUUUUUCUUUCUAAUGGCUUUAUAAAAUUUGGUUUGUGUUUAUAUUCUAAGUAGAAAACUAAGGUAUACAGAAGCUUGCUUAACAUCCCAAAGAAAGAUAAUAAGUAUAGUUGGAAUUUGUUAUACAUUCCACUAAAAU